rnacentral:rRNA from 1 species
GAUGAACGCUAGCGGUGUGCUUAAAGCAUGCAAGUCGAACGUGAUCUCUUGGAUUCGUCUGAGGGUGAAAGUGGCGAACGGGUGAGUAAUGCGUUGGUGAUCUGCCCCGGAGUGGGGAAUAACUAUUGGAAACGAUAGCUAAUACCCCAGAUGUCCUCGUGUUUGGAAAGCGAUGACUAAAGUUCAGGCGCUCCGGGAGGAGCCGACGUCCCAUCAGCUAGUUGGUAGGGUAAUGGCCUACCAAGGCACAGACGGGUAGGGGGCGUGAGAGCGUGACCCCCCACACUGGUACUGACACACGGACCAGAUACCUACGGGUAGCAGCAGCUAGGAAUAUUGGACAAUGGGCGAAAGCCUGAUCCAGCAACACCGCGUGGAGGACGAAGGCCUUCGGGUCGUAAACUCCUUUUUGGGGGAUGAGAAAGGACAGUACCCCCAGAAUAAGGCCCGGCUAACUACGUGCCAGCAGCCGCGGUAAAGUCGUACGUAACGUACGUACGUAGGACGGGCGGGUCGUCGGACGAACGGCG